rnacentral:tRNA from 1 species
UGUGGCUUAGUGGAAGAGCGCUUGCCUCAUAUGUAUGAGACACUGGGUUUGAUUCUCAGCA